GACGAACGCUGGCGGCGUGCUUAACACAUGCCAGUCGAACGGAAAGGCCCUGCUUUUGUGGGGUGCUCGAAUGGCGAACGGGUGAGUAACACGUGAGUAACCUGCCCUUGACUUUGGGAUAACUUCAGGAAACUGGGGCUAAUACCGGAUAGGAGCUCCUGCUGCAUGGUGGGGGUUGGAAAGUUUCGGCGGUUGGGGAUGGACUCGCGGCUUAUCAGCUUGUUGGUGGGGUAGUGGCUUACCAAGGCUUUGACGGGUAGCCGGCCUGAGAGGGUGACCGGCCACAUUGGGACUGAGAUACGGCCCAGACUCCUACGGGAGGCAGCAGUGGGGAAUAUUGCACAAUGGGCGGAAGCCUGAUGCAGCAACGCCGCGUGCGGGAUGACGGCCUUCGGGUUGUAAACCGCUUUCGCCUGUGACGAAGCGUGAGUGACGGUAAUGGGUAAAGAAGCACCGGCUAACUACGUG
rnacentral:rRNA from 1 species